rnacentral:rRNA from 1 species
GUGAGGAAUAUUGGUCAAUGGGCGAGAGCCUGAACCAGCCAAAUCGCGUGAAGGAUGAAGGUAUUAUGUAUUGUAAACUUCUUUUAUCGGGGAAUAAAGUGCGGGACGUGUCCCGUUUUGUAUGUACCCGAAGAAUAAGGAUCGGCUAACUCCGUGCCAGCAGCCGCGGUAAUACGGAGGAUCCAAGCGUUAUCCGGAUUUAUUGGGUUUAAAGGGUGCGUAGGCGGACUGUCAAGUCAGCGGUGAAAGUCCAUGGCUCAACCAUGGAAUUGCCGUUGAAACUGUCGGUCUUGAGUGUAGAUGAGGUAGGCGGAAUUCGUAGUGUAGCGGUGAAAUGCUUAGAUAUUACGAAGAACUCCAAUUGCGUAGGCAGCUUACCAGGCUACAACUGACGCUGAGGCACGAAGGUGCGGGGAUCAAACAGGAUUAGAAACCCUUGUAGUCC